rnacentral:lncRNA from 1 species
GACUCAGCUGGGGUCUGUCCCUCUGUCACCUUUUCUCCCGCACUGCUUUACCAUGUGACUGGCUCAACCUCAAGUGUUUCAUUCGUGUUCCCUAC